CUGGCUCAGGAUGAACGCUAGCGGCAGGCCUAAUACAUGCAAGUCGAACGGUGUAGCAAUACAUAGUGGCGCACGGGUGCGUAACACGUAUGCAAC
rnacentral:rRNA from 1 species